UUAUUUAACUGUCCGGUUUUU
rnacentral:piRNA from 1 species